CAGCCGUAAACUAUGCGCGUUAGGUGUACUGGUGACCACGAGUCACCGGGGUGCCGAAGGGAAACUGUGAAACGUGCCGCCUGGGAAGUACGGUCGCAAGGCUGAAACUUAAAGGAAUUGGCGGGGGGAGCACCACAACGGGUGGAGCCUGCGGUUUAAUUGGACUCAACGCCGGAAAUCUCACCGGAUAGGACAGACAUAUGAUAGUCGGGCUGAAGACUCUACUUGAUGAUCUGAGAGGAGGUGCAUGGCGUCAGUGACU
rnacentral:rRNA from 1 species